CCUACGGGGGGCAGCAGUAGGGAAUCUUCCACAAUGGGCGAAAGCCUGAUGGAGCAACGCCGCGUGGGUGAAGAAGGUCUUCGGAUCGUAAAACCCUGUUGUUAGAGAAGAAAGUGCGUGAGAGUAACUGUUCACGUUUCGACGGUAUCUAACCAGAAAGCCACGGCGAACUACGUGCCAGCAGCCGCGGUAAUACGUAGGUGGGAAGCGUUAUCCGGAUUUAUUGGGCGUAAGGGGAACGCAGGCGGUCUUUUAAGUCUGAUGUGAAAGGCUUCGGCUUAACCGGAGUAGUGCAUUGGAAACUGGGAGACUUGAGUGCAGAAGAGGAGAGUGGAACUCCAUGUGUAGCGGUGAAAUGCGUAGAUAUAUGGAAGAACACCAGUGGCGAAAGCGGCUCUCUGGUCUGUAACUGACGCUGAGGUUCGAAAGCGUGGGUAGCAAACAGGAUUAGAUACCCGGGUAGUC
rnacentral:rRNA from 1 species